GUACUACUGACGAGUCCCACAAUAGGAUGAAACCGUCGUCCAGUGC
rnacentral:hammerhead_ribozyme from 1 species